rnacentral:miRNA from 1 species
UGAUAAUGAACAGGAUGAUGAUGAUGAUGAUGAUGAUGGUAAUUGCUACUAUCAACAUCGUCAUCAUCACCGUCACUCUUUUUCU